rnacentral:sRNA from 1 species
UGAUACAAGGGUCAAAAGGUCAUGCGUUUCUUGCUUGCAUGAAAAAGCAUGACUUAUUGACCCGCAAAACACCGAAAAGUAGCCAUUUUUCGUAGNNNNNNAAAAAUGAGCGGAUUUGAGGUGUUUUAGGAUUGCGAGAGCAUGAAAUGCGAAGCAAUCCGUGUAUCA